rnacentral:rRNA from 1 species
AAAACGACUCUCGGCAACGGAUAUCUCGGCUCUCGCAUCGAUGAAGAACGUAGCGAAAUGCGAUACUUGGUGUGAAUUGCAGAAUCCCGUGACCAUCGAGUCUUUGAACGCAAGUUGCGCCCGAAGCCACUAGGCCGAGGGCACGUCUGCCUGGGCGUCACAC